rnacentral:lncRNA from 1 species
CAUAAAAACACAAAGGAACAACAAAGGGUUUAUUGACCCUGGUUUUUUUAUAUACAAAAACAGAGUGUUGGUACCUGAUUCUGCCGGAUCAACAGAGAGAGAAAAUUCAUCUAACACAAGUUCAGCCAAGCAAGUAUCACCUUCACCUUCAGACAAAGCUGCUCAGGAUUCACCUUCACUUUCAGUCAGGUCUACUAAGCAGUUAUCAUCCGUUGUGAUUUCUAACCGGCAGUCAGCUUCUUCAGAUGUGAAUCCCACUAAGCACCUAGGCUCUAAUUCCGUAGUUUCAGUCCGUCUGGUAUCAUCACCCACUCCAUCUAUAUCACUAAUUUCAUCUGUUCUAGCAGCUACAGGCAACCCUUCUAAUGAGGAUGAUGGACCUGAGUUUACAGUGUCAGUUCCGAGGAAGUUCCCAACCACUUCAUCUAGAAUUUCUUUGUCUGAUUAUCAGAAAAGAUCUUACACUACUUCUACCGCUACUACUGCACAGAACAGAACAGAUAUACCACUUCUACAGAUACUACGUCAACAUAUACUACUUCCACGGACACUACUGCAACAUAUACCACUUCUACAGUUACUACAUCAACAGAUACCACUUCUACAGAUACUACUGCAACAGAGACUACUUGUACAGCUACUACUUCAACAGCUAUUGAUAGGACUUAUAAUACCUCCUUUGGGUAUUCUGCCAUUGCUAUUACUGAAAGUUCCAGCCAGACGUCCUGCCUGGAUUACCCUCCGAUUCAGCUGCCUGCCAUCCCAGAGAGUGAGACUGAGUUAUCUUUAUAUCUUUUAUUCCUAUCAAAUAGUAUGGACUCUCUGGGAAGGACGAGGCAGGUUGCUAAGGAAAGGUUAGAGACUAUCAGGAAAGAGGGUUCCAAACUUGAGGUCGAAAGAAAGAAGAGGAGAGAGGUUGAGGUGGAGAAUCGCCGUUUACUCACAGAACUUGCCGAAUUAAAAUGGAAGGACCAGCAAUUCAGACAUAUGGAACCGUAAUUCUUUUGUUUUGUGGAACUAUAGUUAUUAUAUAUGGACUGACUUAUUGUGAAAUUGUUGAGUGUUCAUUAUUUAUAUAUUUAUUAAGAAAGUUGGUUGGAAAAGUUAAUUGACUGUAUUUUGUUGAAUUUGAAAUUGAAAUAUGUGAUAAAAAUUUCUAAGAAUUCAAAUUGAUUUAAGAAAUUUAAAUAGAAAUCAAGGUAAAUAGUUUUGGAAAUGAAAUUUUUUAUUGAUUUUCUUUGAUGUUAAUUAAGUGCUAAAGUUAAACAUAAUUAAGGACUUGGUAAAAUCUACUUACAUGCUUUCAUAUUAUAUGUACUUUGAUCUAUUCUAUUGAAUAUUUUAUCGUUGGACUAAUGUCGUCCCGACAUUAGGUCUUAAGAGAGGGGGAGUGUAAUGGUGGUUGGUUUUACCUUAUAAAUUAUUCAUAUUAAAAACCACUUUGAAAAAGUAUAAUAGCUUCUAAACUGCCGUACUGGCCGUAGCUAGUUAUGAGGUUACCGGGCCUACCGGUCUUCUUCCGGUAGGACCGGCCCGUGCCGGUCUGAUGACGUCAGACUAUAGUUUUGCGUUCUGCACUUACGAACUGACUGAGAAAGAAGAAAACACUGAACAUCACCUUCUUCAGGUUGAUAUUUUUAUUAAGACUACGUUUGUAACCACCAUUAUGUCUCAUUUCGCCAUUCUAAACAUUUAAAGUAUUAUUAUUCAUUGUAAACUGUGCUUAAAUUAUUUGGCUGAUAUUAAAUCUAUAUUAUUAUUAACGACGUAUUCUGUUUUCUAAUAUUCCGUGAACUCGGGAAAACUCAUUCCCG